rnacentral:lncRNA from 1 species
GAGUAGCUGGGAUUACAGGGGCACGCCACCACACCCAGCUAAUUUUUGUAUUUUUAGAAGAGACGGGGUUUCACCAUGUUGGCCAUGAUGGUCUCGAUUUCUGACCUUGUCAUCCGUCCGCCUUGGCCUCCCAAAGUGCUGGGAUUACGGGCGUGAGCCACCGUACCCAGCCUGCUUCCUGUUUUAACAGACGAAGAAAUGGAAUAACUUCCAACAACACAGGUUGGAGCUGAAGGAGUGCCCAGGCUGCGGAUGGAGGAAGGACGUGCUCGGGAGAAGGUGAAGAUGGGAGAGAAGCAAGAUCUUCUGUGUUUGGACCAAGGACACAUUUCCUUACUCCAUAGCAGCUGUGGUCAGUGGCUUAGCUCGGACAAGGAGAUGAGAGCCCAUGUGUUGUGAGGGUUCUUCUGGGAACUCUGAGAAGGCAGGAGCCGCCCCCGCCCUUCACUGCCUCUCUUCCAUUCUGCAGCAUGGAAUAUGGAUGUGUGGUCUGGAUGUACAGACACCAUUUUGGACCAUAAAGACAAGGACGAUUGUCUAAGGAUGACACAGCCAGAGCACUGAGAGUGGCGAGAAGGACAGGGGAGCUGCUGUGCCAAGCAGGACUGUCUCUCUUAAGAGAAAAAUAAAAUUUAUUGGUGUUUAAACCA